rnacentral:rRNA from 1 species
ACACAUGCAAGUCGUACGAGAAGGUUCUUUCGGGAACUGGAGAGUGGCGCACGGGUGAGUAACGCGUGGGGACCUACCUCUUAGUGGGGGAUAACGGUUGGAAACGACCGCUAAUACCGCAUACGCCCUUCGGGGGAAAGAUUUAUCGCUAAGAGAUGGACCCGCGUUGGAUUAGAUAGUUGGUGAGGUAAUGGCUCACCAAGUCGGCGAUCCAUAGCUGGUUUGAGAGGAUGAUCAGCCACACUGGGACUGAGACACGGCCCAGACUCCUACGGGAGGCAGCAGUGGGGAAUAUUGGACAAUGGGGGCAACCCUGAUCCAGCCAUGCCGCGUGAGUGAAGAAGGCCUUCGGGUUGUAAAGCU